rnacentral:rRNA from 1 species
UACGUAGGGGGCAAGCGUUGUCCGGAUUUAUUGGGCGUAAAGAGCGUGUAGGCGGCCAGGUAGGUCUGCUGUGAAAACUCGAGGCUUAACCUCGAGCUGUCGGCGGAAACCAUUUGGCUAGAGUCCGGGAGAGGAGAAUGGAAUUCCCGGUGUAGCGGUGAAAUGCGUAGAUAUCGUAAGGAAGACCAGUGGCGAAGGCGGGUCUCUGGACAGUUCCUGACGCUGAGGCACGAAGGUCAGGGGAGCAAACGGG